GGUAAGGUUUAAGGUUUUUGGAGUAAGGGUUAAAAUCACUGUCCAAAACCUUUUUAGGAACAUGUUUCCAGACCUUUUGGAGAUGGUUACACCAAAAAAAAAAAUUGUAAAAUGAAAAAAAAUAUAUUUGGGGUGUUCGGGCUUCCUGAAGGUAAUACCCGGGUAUUAGGUUAUGGGGCUAGGGUAAGGUUUAAGGUUUUUGGUGAUAGGGUUAAAAUCACUGUCCAAAACCUUUGUAGGAACUCUUUUCCAACCUUUUGGAGUUAGUUAGACAAAAAAAAAAGAUAAAUGAAAAAAAAAAUAUUUGGGGUGUUCGGGCUUCCUGAAGGUAAUACCCGGGUAUUAGGUUAUGGGGCUAGGGAAAGGUUUAAGGUUUUUGGCGUAAGGGUUAAAAUCACUGUCCAAAACCUUUUUAGGAACAUGUUUCAGACCUUUUGGAGUUGGUUACACCAAAAAAAAUGUAAAAUGAAAAAAAAAUUUUGGGGUGUUCGGGCUUCCUGAAGGUUAUACUAGGUUUCUGGGCUAGGGUAAUGUUUAAGGUUUUUGGAGUUAGGGUUAAAAUCAAUGUCCAAAACCUUUGUAGGAACUCUUUUCCAACCUUUGAGAGCAAGUUAGACCAAAACAAAAAGAAAAAUAAAAAAUAUAUAUUUGGGGUGUUCGGGCAUCCUGAAGGUAAUACCCGGGUAUUAGGUUAUGGGGCUAGGGUAAGGUUUAAGGUUUAAGGUUUUUCGGCGUGAGGGUUAAAAUCACUGUCCAAAACCUUUGUAGGAACUCUUUUCCAACCUUUUGGAGUUAGUUAGACCACAAAAAAUGAAAAAUAAAAAAAAAAUAUUUGGGGUGUUCGGGCUUCCUGAAGGUAAUACCCGGGUAUUAGGUUUUGGGGCUAGGGUAAGGUUUAAGGUUUUUGGCGAUAGGGUUAAAAUCACUGUCCAAAACCUUUGUAGGAACUCUUUUCCAACCUUUUGGAGUUAGUUAGACCAAAAAAAAUGAAUAAAUAAAAAAAUAUAUAUUUGGGGUGUUCGGGCUUCCUGAAGGUAAUACCCGGGUAUUAGGUUUUGGGGCUAGGGUAAGGUUUAAGGUUUUUGGCGUAAGGGUUAAAAUCACUGUCCAAAACCUUUUUAGGAACAUGUUUCAGACCUUUUGGAGAUGGUUACACCAAAAAAAUGUAAAAUGAAAAAAAAAAUAUUUGGGGUGUUCGGGCUUCCUGAAGGUAAUACCCGGGUAUUAGGUUAUGGGGCUAGGGUAAGGUUUAAGGUUUUUGGCGAUAGGGUUAAAAUCACUGUCCAAAACCUUUGUAGGAACUCUUUUCAAACCUUUUGGAGUUAGUUAGACAAAAAAAAAAGAUAAAUGAAAAAAAAAAUAUUUGGGGUGUUCGGGCUUCCUGAAGGUAAUAACCGGGUAUUAGGUUAUGGGGCUAGGGUAAGUUUUAAGGUUUUUGGCGUAAGGGUUAAAUAACUGUCCAAUAUUUUUUAAGGAACAUGUUUCAGACCUUUUGGAGAUGGUUACACCAAAAAAAAUGUAAAAUGAAAAAAAAUUUUUUUGGGGUGUUCGGGCUUCCUGAAGGUAAUACCCGGGUAUUAGGUUUUGGGGCUAGGGUAAGGUUUAAGGUUUUUGGCGUUAGGGUUAAAAUCACUGUCCAAAACCUUUUUAGGAACAUGUUUCAGACCUUUUGGAGUUAGUUAGACAAAAAAAAAAGAAAAAGAAAAAAAAUAUUUGGGGUGUUCGGGCUUCCUGAAGGUAAUACCCGGGUAUUAGGUUAGGGGCUAGGUAAGGUUUAAGGUUUUUGGCGUGAGGGUUAAAAUCACUGUCCAAAACCUUUGUAGGAACUCUUUUCCAACCUUUUGGAGUUAGUUAGACCACAAAAAAUGAAAAAAAAAAAAAAAAAUAUUUGGGGUGUUCGGGCUUCCUGAAGGUAAUACCCGGGUAUUAGGUUUUGGGGCUAGGGUAAGGUUUAAGGUUUUUGGCGAUAGGGUUAAAAUCACUGUCCAAAACCUUUGUAGGAAGUCUUUUCCUACCUUUUGGAGUUAGUUAGACAAAAAAAAAAAAAUAAAUGACAAAAAAAUAUUUGGGGUGUUCGGGCUUCCUGAAGGUAAUACCCGGGUAUUAGGUUAUGGGGCUAGGUUAAGGUUUAAGGUUUUUGGCGUGAGGGUUAAAAUCACUGUCCAAAACCUUUGUAGGAAGUCUUUUCCAACCUUUUGGAGUUAGUUAGACAAAAAAAAAAAGAUAAAUGAAAAAAAAUAUUUGGGGUGUUCGGGCUUCCUGAAGGUAAUACCCGGGUAUUAGGUUUUGGGGCUAGGGUAACUUUUAAGGUUUUUGGCGAUAGGGUUAAAAUCACUGUCCAAAACCUUUGUAGGAACUCUUUUCCAACCUUUUGGAGUUAGUUAGACAAAAAAAAAAAGAUAAAUUAAAAAAAAAUAUUUGGGGUGUUCGGGCUUCCUGAAGGUAAUACCCGGGUAUUAGGUUAUGGGGCUAGGGUAAGGUUUAAGGUUUUUGGCGUAAGGGUUAAAAUCACUGUCCAAAACCUUUUUAGGAACAUGUUUCCAACCUUUUGGAGUUAGUUAGACCAAAAAAAAAGAAAAAAGAAAAAAAAAUAUUUGGGGUGUUCGGGCUUCCUGAAGGUAAUACCCGGGUAUUAGGUUAUGGGGCUAGGGUAAGGUUUAAGGUUUUUGGCGAUAGGGUUAAAAUCACUGUCCAAAACCUUUGUAGGAACUCUUUUCCAACCUUUUGGAGUUAGUUAGACCAAAAAAAAAAGAUAAAUGAAAAAAAAUAUUUGGGGUGUUCGGGCUUCCUGAAGGUAAUACCCGGGUAUUAGGUUAUGGGGCUAGGGUAAGGUUUAAGGUUUAAGGUUUUUGGCGUGAGGGUUAAAAUCACUGUCCAAAACCUUUGUAGGAACUCUUUUCCAACCUUUUGGAGUUAGUUAGACAAAAAAAAAAAGAUAAAUGAAAAAAAAAUAUUUGGGGUGUUCGGGCUUCCUGAAGGUAAUACCCGGGUAUUAGGUUUUGGGGCUAGGGUUAGGUUUAAGGUUUUUGGCGUUAGGGUUAAAGUAACUGUCCAAUAUUUUUUAAGGAACAUGUUUCAGACCUUUGGGAGUUAGUUAGACAAAAAAAAAAGAAAAAGAAAAAAAAAUAUUUGGGGUGUUCGGGUUUCCUGAAGGUAAUACCCGGGUAUUAGGUUAGGGGCUAAGGUAAGGUUUAAGGUUUUUGGCGUGAGGGUUAAAAUCACUGUCCAAAACCUUUGUAGGAACUCUUUAACAUCCUUUUGGAGUUAGUUAGACCAAAAAAAAAAACGAAAAAUGAAAAAACAAUAUUUGGGGUUUUCGGGCUUCCUGAAGGUAAUACCCGGGUAUUAGGUUAUGGGGCUAGGGUAAGGUUUAAGGUUAUUGGCGCGAGGGUUAAAAUCACUGUCCAAAACCUUUGUAGGAACUCUUUUCCAACCUUUUGGAGUUAGUUAGACCACAAAAAAUGAAAAAUAAAAAAAAAUAUUUGGGGUGUUCGGGCUUCCUGAAGGUAAUACCCGGGUAUUAGGUUUUGGGGCUAGGGUAACUUUUAAGGUUUUUGGCGAUAGGGUUAAAAUCACUGUCCAAAACCUUUGUAGGAACUCUUUUCCAACCUUUUGGAGUUAGUUAGACCACAAAAAAUGAAAAAUAAAAAAAAAAAUAUUUGGGGUGUUCAGGCUUCCUGAAGGUAAUACCCGGGUAUUAGGUUUUGGGGCUAGGGUAACUUUUAAGGUUUUUGGCGAUAGGGUUAAAAUCACUGUCCAAAACCUUUGUAGGAACUCUUUUCCAACCUUUUGGAGUUAGUUAGACAAAAAAAAAAAGAUAAAUUAAAAAAAAAUAUUUGGGGUGUUCGGGCUUCCUGAAGGUAAUACCCGGGUAUUAGGUUAGGGGCUAAGGUAAGGUUUAAGGUUUUUGGCGUGAGGGUUAAAAUCACUGUCCAAAACCUUUGUAGGAACUCUUUUCCAACCUUUUGGAGUUAGUUAGACAAAAAAAAAAAGAUAAAUGAAAAAAAAAAAUAUUUGGGGUGUUCGGGCUUCCUGAAGGUAAUACCCGGGUAUUAGGUUAUGGGGCUAGGGUAAGGUUUAAGGUUUUUGGCGUAAGGGUUAAAGUAACUGUCCAAUAUUUUUUAAGGAACAUGUUUCAGACCUUUGGGAGUUAGUUAGACAAAAAAAAAAAGAAAAAGAAAAAAAAAUAUUUGGGGUGUUCGGGUUUCCUGAAGGUAAUACCCGGGUAUUAGGUUAGGGGCUAAGGUAAGGUUUAAGGUUUUUGGCGUGAGGGUUAAAAUCACUGUCCAAAACCUUUGUAGGAACUCUUUUCCAACCUUUUGGAGUUAGUUAGACCACAAAAAAUGAAAAAUAAAAAAAAAAAUAUUUGGGGUGUUCGGGCUUCCUGAAGGUAAUACCCGGGUAUUAGGUUUUGGGGCUAGGGUAAGUUUAAGGUUUUUGGCGAUAGGGUUAAAAUCACUGUCCAAAACCUUUGUAGGAACUCUUUUCCAACCUUUUGGAGUUAGUUAGACAAAAAAAAUAAAUAAAUGAAAAAAAAAUAUUUGGGGUGUUCGGGCUUCCUGAAGGUAAUACCCGGGUAUUAGGUUAUGGGGCUAGGUUAAGGUUUAAGGUUUUUGGCGUGAGGGUUAAAAUCACUGUCCAAAACCUUUGUAGGAACUCUUUUCCAACCUUUUGGAGUUAGUUAGACAAAAAAAAAAAGAUAAAUGAAAAAAAAAUAUUUGGGGUGUUCGGGCUUCCUGAAGGUAAUACCCGGGUAUUAGGUUUUGGGGCUAGGGUAACUUUUAAGGUUUUUGGCGAUAGGGUUAAAAUCACUGUCCAAAACCUUUGUAGGAACUCUUUUCCAACCUUUUGGAGUUAGUUAGACAAAAAAAAAAGAUAAAUGAAAAAAAAAUAUUUGGGGUGUUCGGGCUUCCUGAAGGUAAUACCCGGGUAUUAGGUUAUGGGGCUAGGGUAAGGUUUAAGGUUUUUGGCGUAAGGGUUAAAAUCACUGUCCAAAACCUUUUUAGGAACAUGUUUCAGACCUUUUGGAGAUGGUUACACCAAAAAAAAUGUAAAAUGAAAAAAAAAAUAUUUGGGGUGUUCGGGCUUCCUGAAGGUAAUACCCGGGUAUUAGGUUAUGGGGCUAGGGUAAGGUUUAAGGUUUUUGGCGAUAGGGUUAAAAUCACUGUCCAAAACCUUUGUAGGAACUCUUUUCCAACCUUUUGGAGUUAGUUAGACAAAAAAAAAAAAGAUAAAUGAAAAAAAAAUAUUUGGGGUGUUCGGGCUUCCUGAAGGUAAUACCCGGGUAUUAGGUUUUGGGGCUAGGGUUAGGUUUAAGGUUUUUGGCGUUAGGGUUAAAGUAACUGUCCAAUAUUUUUUAAGGAACAUGUUUCAGACCUUUGGGAGUUAGUUAGACAAAAAAAAAAGAAAAAGAAAAAAAAAUAUUUGGGGUGUUCGGGUUUCCUGAAGGUAAUACCCGGGUAUUAGGUUAGGGGCUAAGGUAAGGUUUAAGGUUUUUGGCGUGAGGGUUAAAAUCACUGUCCAAAACCUUUGUAGGAACUCUUUAACAUCCUUUUGGAGUUAGUUAGACCAAAAAAAAAACGAAAAAUGAAAAAACAAUAUUUGGGGUUUUCGGGCUUCCUGAAGGUAAUACCCGGGUAUUAGGUUAUGGGGCUAGGGUAAGGUUUAAGGUUUUUGGCGAUAGGGUUAAAAUCACUGUCCAAAACCUUUGUAGGAACUCUUUUCCAACCUUUUGGAGUUAGUUAGACCACAAAAAAUGAAAAAUAAAAAAAUAUAUUUGGGGUGUUCAGGCUUCCUGAAGGUAAUACCCGGGUAUUAGGUUAUGGGGCUAGGGUAACUUUUAAGGUUUUUGGCGAUAGGGUUAAAAUCACUGUCCAAAACCUUUGUAGGAACUCUUUUCCAACCUUUUGGAGUUAGUUAGACAAAAAAAAAAGAUAAAUUAAAAAAAAAUAUUUGGGGUGUUCGGGCUUCCUGAAGGUAAUACCCGGGUAUUAGGUUAGGGGCUAAGGUAAGGUUUAAGGUUUUUGGCGUGAGGGUUAAAAUCACUGUCCAAAACCUUUGUAGGAACUCUUUUCCAACCUUUUGGAGUUAGUUAGACCACAAAAAAUGAAUAAUAAAAAAAAUAUAUAUUUGGGGUGUUCGGGCUUCCUGAAGGUAAUACCCGGGUAUUAGGUUUUGGGGCUAGGGUUAGGUUUAAGGUUUUUGGCGUUAGGGUUAAAGUAACUGUCCAAUAUUUUUAAGGAACAUGUUUCAGACCUUUGGGAGUUAGUUAGACAAAAAAAAAAAGAAAAAGAAAAAAAAAAUAUUUGGGGUGUUCGGGUUUCCUGAAGGUAAUACCCGGGUAUUAGGUUAGGGGCUAAGGUAAGGUUUAAGGUUUUUGGCGUGAGGGUUAAAAUCACUGUCCAAAACCUUUGUAGGAACUCUUUAACAUCCUUUUUGAGUUAGUUAGACCAAAAAAAAAGCGAAAAAUGAAAAAAAAAUAUUUGGGGUUUUCGGGCUUCCUGAAGGUAAUACCCGGGUAUUAGGUUAUGGGGCUAGGGUAAGGUUUAAGGUUAUUGGCGCGAGGGUUAAAAUCACUGUCCAAAACCUUUGUAGGAACUCUUUUCCAACCUUUUGGAGUUAGUUAGACCACAAAAAAUGAAAAAUAAAAAAAAAAAUAUUUAGGGUGUUCAGGCUUCCUGAAGGUAAUAACCGAGUAUUAGGUUUUGGGGCUAGGGUAACUUUUAAGGUUUUUGGCGAUAGGGUUAAAAUCACUGUCCAAAACCUUUGUAGGAACUCUUUUCCAACCUUUUGGAGUUAGUUAGACAACAAAAAAUGAAAAAAAAAAAAAAAAAUAUUUGGGGUGUUCAGGCUUCCUGAAGGUAAUACCCGGGUAUUAGGUUUUGGGGCUAGGGUAACUUUUAAGGUUUUUGGCGAUAGGGUUAAAAUCACUGUCCAAAACCUUUGUAGGAACUCUUUUCCAACCUUUUGGAGUUAGUUAGACCACAAAAAAUGAAAAAAAUAUAUAUAUAUAUUUGGGGUGUUCAGGCUUCCUGAAGGUAAUAUCCGGGUAUUAGGUUUUGGGGCUAGGGUAACUUUUAAGGUUUUUGGCGAUAGGGUUAAAAUCACUGUCCAAAACCUUUGUAGGAACUCUUUUCCAACCUUUUGGAGUUAGUUAGACAAAAAAAAAAAAAAGAUAAAUUAAAAAAAAAUAUUUGGGGUGUUCGGGCUUCCUGAAGGUAAUACCCGGGUAUUAGGUUAUGGGGCUAGGGUUAGGUUUAAGGUUUUUGGCGUUAGGGUUAAAAUCACUGUCCAAAACCUUUUUAGGAACAUGUUUCAGACCUUUUGGAGAUGGUUACACCAAAAAAAAAUGUAAAAUGAAAAAAAAAAUAUUUGGGGUGUUCGGGUUUCCUGAAGGUAAUACCCGGGUAUUAGGUUAGGGGCUAAGGUAAGGUUUAAGGUUUUUGGCGUGAGGGUUAAAAUCACUGUCCAAAACCUUUGUAGGAACUCUUUAACAUCCUUUUGGAGUUAGUUAGACCAAAAAAAAAACGAAAAAUGAAAAAACAAUAUUUGGGGUUUUCGGGCUUCCUGAAGGUAAUACCCGGGUAUUAGGUUAUGGGGCUAGGGUAAGGUUUAAGGUUAUUGGCGCGAGGGUUAAAAUCACUGUCCAAAACCUUUGUAGGAACUCUUUUCCAACCUUUUGGAGUUAGUUAGACCACAAAAAAUGAAAAAUAAAAAAAAAAAUAUUUAGGGUGUUCAGGCUUCCUGAAGGUAAUACCAGGGUAUUAGGUUUUGGGGCUAGGGUAACUUUUAAGGUUUUUGGCGAUAGGGUUAAAAUCACUGUCCAAAACCUUUGUAGGAACUCUUUUCCAACCUUUUGGAGUUAGUUAGACCACAAAAAAUGAAAAAAAAAAAUAUAUAUAUUUGGGGUGUUCAGGCUUCCUGAAGGUAAUACCCGGGUAUUAGGUUAUGGGGCUAGGGUAACUUUUAAGGUUUUUGGCGUGAGGGUUAAAAUCACUUUCCAAAACCUUUGUAGGAACUCUUUUCCAACCUUUUGGAGUUAGUUAGACAAAAAAAAAAAGAUAAAUGAAAAAAAAAAUAUUUGGGGUGUUCGGGCUUCCUGAAGGUAAUACCCGGGUAUUAGGUUUUGGGGCUAGAGUUAGGUUGAAGGUUUUUGGCGUUAGGGUUAAAAUCAAUGUCCAAAACCUUUUUAAAGAAACAUGUUUCAGACCUUUUGGAGAUGGUUACACCAAAAAAAACGAAAAAUGAAAAAACAAUAUUUGGGGUGUUCGGGCUUCCUGAAGGUAAUACCCGGGUAUUAGGUUAUGGGGCUAGGGUAAGGUUUAAGGUUUUUGGCGUGAGGGUUAAAAUCACUUUCCAAAACCUUUGUAGGAAGUCUUUUCCAACCUUUUGGAGUUAGUUAGACAAAAAAAAAAGAUAAAUGAAAAAAAAAUAUUUGGGGUGUUCGGGCUUCCUGAAGGUAAUACCCGGGUAUUACGUUUUGGGGCUAGGGUAACUUUUAAGGUUUUUGGCGAUAGGGUUAAAAUCACUGUCCAAAACCUUUGUAGGAACUCUUUUCCAACCUUUUGGAGUUAGUUAGACAAAAAAAAAAGAUAAAUUAAAAAAAAAUAUUUGGGGUGUUCGGGCUUCCUGAAGGUAAUACCCGGGUAUUAGGUUAUGGGGCUAGGGUAAGGUUUAAGGUUUUUGGCGUAAGGGUUAAAAUCACUGUCCAAAACCUUUUUAGGAACAUGUUUCAGACCUUUUGGAGAUGGUUACACCAAAAAAAAUGUAAAAUGAAAAAAAAAAAUAUUUGGGGUGUUCGGGCUUCCUGAAGGUAAUACCCGGGUAUUAGGUUAUGGGGCUAGGGUAAGGUUUAAGGUUUUUGGCGAUAGGGUUAAAAUCACUGUCCAAAACCUUUGUAGGAACUCUUUUCCAACCUUUUGGAGUUAGUUAGACAAAAAAAAAAAGAUAAAUGAAAAAAAAAAUAUUUGGGGUGUUCGGGCUUCCUGAAGGUAAUACCCGGGUAUUAGGUUAUGGGGCUAGGGAAAGGUUUAAGGUUUUGGGCGUAAGGGUUAAAAUCAGUGUACAAAACCUUUUUAGGAACAUGUUUCAGACCUUUUGGAGUUGGUUACACCAAAAAAAAUGUAAAAUGAAAAAAAAAUUUUUUUGGGUGUUCGGGCUUCCUGAAGGUUAUACUAGGUUUCUGGGCUAGGGUAAUGUUUAAGGUUUUUGGAGUUAGGGUUAAAAUCAAUGUCCAAAACCUUUGUAGGAACUCUUUUCCAACCUUUUGGAGUUAGUUAGACCACAAAAAAUGAAAAAUAAAAAAAAAUAUAUUUGGGGUGUUCGGGCUUCCUGAAGGUAAUACCCGGGUAUUAGGUUUUGGGGCUAGGGUAACUUUUAAGGUUUUUGGCGUGAGGGUUAAAAUCACUGUCCAAAACCUUUGUAGGAACUCUUUAACAUCCUUUUGGAGUUAGUUAGACCAAAAAAAAAACGAAAAAUGAAAAAACAAUAUUUGGGGUUUUCGGGCUUCCUGAAGGUAAUACCCGGGUAUUAGGUUAUGGGGCUAGGGUAAGGUUUAAGGUUUUUGGCGCGAGGGUUAAAAUCACUGUCCAAAACCUUUGUAGGAACUCUUUUCCAACCUUUUGGAGUUAGUUAGACCACAAAAAAUGAAAAAUAAAAAAAAAUAUAUUUAGGGUGUUCAGGCUUCCUGAAGGUAAUACCCGGGUAUUAGGUUUUGGGGCUAGGGUAACUUUUAAGGUUUUUGGCGAUAGGGUUAAAAUCACUGUCCAAAACCUUUGUAGGAACUCUUUUCCAACCUUUUGGAGUGAGUUAGACCACAAAAAAUGAAAAAUAAAAAAAAAAUAUUUGGGGUGUUCAGGCUUCCUGAAGGUAAUACCCGGGUAUUAGGUUUUGGGGCUAGGGUAACUUUUAAGGUUUUUGGUGAUAGGGUUAAAAUCACUGUCCAAAACCUUUGUAGGAACUCUUUUCCAACCUUUUGGAGUUAGUUAGACCACAAAAAAUGAAAAAAAAAAUAUAUAUAUAUUUGGGGUGUUCAGGCUUCCUGAAGGUAAUACCCGGGUAUUAGGUUUUGGGGCUAGGGUAACUUUUAAGGUUUUUGGCGAUAGGGUUAAAAUCACUGUCCAAAACCUUUGUAGGAACUCUUUUCCAACCUUUUGGAGUUAGUUAGACAAAAAAAAAAAGAUAAAUUAAAAAAAAAUAUUUGGGGUGUUCGGGCUUCCUGAAGGUAAUACCCGGGUAUUAGGUUAUGGGGCUAGGGUAAGGUUUAAGGUUUUUGGCGUAAGGGUUAAAAUCACUGUCCAAAACCUUUUUAGGAACAUGUUUCAGACCUUUUGGAGAUGGUUACACCAAAAAAAAAUGUAAAAUGAAAAAAAAAAUAUUUGGGGUGUUCGGGCUUCCUGAAGGUAAUACCCGGGUAUUAGGUUAUGGGGCUAGGGUAAGGUUUAAGGUUUUUGGCGAUAGGGUUAAAAUCACUGUCCAAAACCUUUGUAGGAACUCUUUUCCAACCUUUUGGAGUUAGUUAGACAAAAAAAAAAGAUAAAUGAAAAAAAAAAUAUUUGGGGUGUUCGGGCUUCCUGAAGGUAAUACCCGGGUAUUAGGUUUUGGGGCUAGAGUUAGGUUUAAGGUUUUUGGCGUUAGGGUUAAAGUAACUGUCCAAUAUUUUUUAAGGAACAUGUUUCAGACCUUUGGGAGUUAGUUAGACAAAAAAAAAAGAAAAAGAAAAAAAAAUAUUUGGGGUGUUCGGGCUUCCUGAAGGUAAUACCCGGGUAUUAGGUUAGGGGCUAAGGUAAGGUUUAAGGUUUUUGGCGUGAGGGUUAAAAUCACUGUCCAAAACCUUUGUAGGAACUCUUUUCCAACCUUUUGGAGUUAGUUAGACCACAAAAAAUGAAAAAUAAAAAAAAAAAUAUUUGGGGUGUUCGGGCUUCCUGAAGGUAAUACCCGGGUAUUAGGUUUUGGGGCUAGGGUAACUUUUAAGGUUUUUGGCGAUAGGGUUAAAAUCACUGUCCAAAACCUUUGUAGGAACUCUUUUCCAACCUUUUGGAGUUAGUUAGACAAAAAAAAAAAAGAUAAAUUAAAAAAAAAUAUUUGGGGUGUUCGGGCUUCCUGAAGGUAAUACCCGGGUAUUAGGUUAUGGGGCUAGGGUAAGGUUUAAGGUUUUUGGCGUAAGGGUUAAAAUCACUGUCCAAAACCUUUUUUAAGGAACAUGUUUCAGACCUUUGGGAGUGAGUUACAAAAAAAAAAAAGAAAAAGAAAAAAAAAUAUUUGGGGUGUUCGGGUUUCCUGAAGGUAAUACCCGGGUAUUAGGUUAGGGGCUAAGGUAAGGUUUAAGGUUUUUGGCGUGAGGGUUAAAAUCACUGUCCAAAACCUUUGUAGGAACUCUUUUCCAACCUUUUGGAGUUAGUUAGACCACAAAAAAUGAAAAAUAAAAAAAUAUAUAUUUGGGGUGUUCGGGCUUCCUGAAGGUAAUACCCGGGUAUUAGGUUUUGGGGCUAGGGUAACUUUUAAGGUUUUUGGCGAUAGGGUUAAAAUCACUGUCCAAAACCUUUGUAGGAACUCUUUUCCAACCUUUUGGAGUUAGUUAGACAAAAAAAAAAAGAUAAAUGAAAAAAAAAAUAUUUGGGGUGUUCGGGCUUCCUGAAGGUAAUACCCGGGUAUUAGGUUAUGGGGCUAGUUUAAGGUUUAAGGUUUUUGGCGUGAGGGUUAAAAUCACUGUCCAAAACCUUUGUAGGAACUCUUUUCCAACCUUUUGGAGUUAGUUAGACAAAAAAAAAAGAUAAAUGAAAAAAAAAUAUUUGGGGUGUUCGGGCUUCCUGAAGGUAAUACCCGGGUAUUAGGUUUUGGGGCUAGAGUUAGGUUUAAGGUUUUUGGCGUUAGGGUUAAAGUAACUGUCCAAUAUUUUUUAAGGAACAUGUUUCAGACCUUUGGGAGUUAGUUAGACAAAAAAAAAAGAAAAAGAAAAAAAAAUAUUUGGGGUGUUCGGGUUUCCUGAAGGUAAUACCCGGGUAUUAGGUUAGGGGCUAAGGUAAGGUUUAAGGUUUUUGGCGUGAGGGUUAAAAUCACUGUCCAAAACCUUUGUAGGAACUCUUUUCCAACCUUUUGGAGUUAGUUAGACCACAAAAAAUGAAUAAUAAAAAAAAUAUAUAUUUGGGGUGUUCGGGCUUCCUGAAGGUAAUACCCGGGUAUUAGGUUUUGGGGCUAGGGUAACUUUUAAGGUUUUUGGCGAUAGGGUUAAAAUCACUGUCCAAAACCUUUGUAGGAACUCUUUUCCAACCUUUUGGAGUUAGUUAGACCACAAAAAAUGAAAAAUAAAAAAAAAAAUAUUUGGGGUGUUCAGGCUUCCUGAAGGUAAUACCCGGGUAUUAGGUUUUGGGGCUAGGGUAACUUUUAAGGUUUUUGGCGAUAGGGUUAAAAUCACUGUCCAAAACCUUUGUAGGAACUCUUUUCCAACCUUUUGGAGUUAGUUAGACAAAAAAAAAAAAGAUAAAUUAAAAAAAAAUAUUUGGGGUGUUCGGGCUUCCUGAAGGUAAUACCCGGGUAUUAGGUUAGGGGCUAAGGUAAGGUUUAAGGUUUUUGGCGUGAGGGUUAAAAUCACUGUCCAAAACCUUUGUAGGAACUCUUUUCCAACCUUUUGGAGUUAGUUAGACCACAAAAAAUGAAUAAUAAAAAAAAUAUAUAUUUGGGGUGUUCGGGCUUCCUGAAGGUAAUACCCGGGUAUUAGGUUUUGGGGCUAGGGUUAGGUUUAAGGUUUUUGGCGUUAGGGUUAAAGUAACUGUCCAAAAUUUUUUAAGGAACAUGUUUCAGACCUUUGGGAGUUAGUUAGACAAAAAAAAAGAAAAAAGAAAAAAAAAUAUUUGGGGUGUUCGGGUUUCCUGAAGGUAAUACCCGGGUAUUAGGUUAGGGGCUAAGGUAAGGUUUAAGGUUUUUGGCGUGAGGGUUAAAAUCACUGUCCAAAACCUUUGUAGGAACUCUUUAACAUCCUUUUUGAGUUAGUUAGACCAAAAAAAAAACGAAAAAUGAAAAAACAAUAUUUGGGGUGUUCAGGCUUCCUGAAGGUAAUACCCGGGUAUUAGGUUAUGGGGCUAGGGUAAGGUUUAAGGUUAUUGGCGCGAGGGUUAAAAUCACUGUCCAAAACCUUUGUAGGAACUCUUUUCCAACCUUUUGGAGUUAGUUAGACCACAAAAAAUGAAAAAUAAAAAAAAAAAUAUUUAGGGUGUUCAGGCUUCCUGAAGGUAAUACCCGGGUAUUAGGUUUUGGGGCUAGGGUAACUUUUAAGGUUUUUGGCGAUAGGGUUAAAAUCACUGUCCAAAACCUUUGUAGGAACUCUUUUCCAACCUUUUGGAGUUAGUUAGACAAAAAAAAAAAAAGAUAAAUUAAAAAAAAAUAUUUGGGGUGUUCGGGCUUCCUGAAGGUAAUACCCGGGUAUUAGGUUAUGGGGCUAGGGUAAGGUUUAAGGUUUUUGGCGUAAGGGUUAAAGUAACUGUCCAAUAUUUUUUAAGGAACAUGUUUCAGACCUUUGGGAGUGAGUUAGACAAAAAAAAAGAAAAAGAAAAAAAAAUAUUUGGGGUGUUCGGGUUUCCUGAAGGCAAUACCCGGGUAUUAGGUUAGGGGCUAAGGUAAGGUUUAAGGUUUUUGGCGUGAGGGUUAAAAUCACUGUCCAAAACCUUUGUAGGAACUCUUUUCCUACCUUUUGGAGUUAGUUAGACAAAAAAAAUAAAUAAAUGAAAAAAAAAUAUUUGGGGUGUUCAGGCUUCCUGAAGGUAAUACCCGGGUAUUAGGUUAUGGGGCUAGGUUAAGGUUUAAGGUUUUUGGCGUGAGGGUUAAAAUCACUUUCCAAAACCUUUGUAAGAAGUCUUUUCCAACCUUUUGGAGUUAGUUAGACAAAAAAAAAAAGAUAAAUGAAAAAAAAAUAUUUGGGGUGUUCGGGCUUCCUGAAGGUAAUACCCGGGUAUUACGUUUUGGGGCUAGGGUAACUUUUAAGGUUUUUGACGAUAGGGUUAAAAUCACUGUCCAAAACCUUUGUAGGAACUCUUUUCCAACCUUUUGGAGUUAGUUAGACAAAAAAAAAAAGAUAAAUUAAAAAAAAAUAUUUGGGGUGUUCGGGCUUCCUGAAGGUAAUACCCGGGUAUUAGGUUAUGGGGCUAGGGUAAGGUUUAAGGUUUUUGGCGUAAGGGUUAAAAUCACUGUCCAAAACCUUUUUAGGAACAAAAAAAUAUUUGGGGUGUUCGGGCUUCCUGAAGGUAAUACCCGGGUAUUAGGUUAUGGGGCUAGGGUAAGGUUUAAGGUUUUUGGCGAUAGGGUUAAAAUCACUGUCCAAAACCUUUGUAGGAACUCUUUUCCAACCUUUGGGAAUUAGUUAGACAAAAAAAAAGAUAAAUGAAAAAAAAAUAUUUGGGGUGUUCGGGCUUCCUGAAGGUAAUACCCGGGUAUUAGGUUUUGGGGCUAGGGUUAGGUUUAAGGUUUUUGGCGUUAGGGUUAAAGUAACUGUCCAAUAUUUUUAAGGAACAUGUUUCAGACCUUUGGGAGUUAGUUAGACAAAAAAAAAAGAAAAAGAAAAAAAAAUAUUUGGGGUGUUCGGGUUUCCUGAAGGUAAUACCCGGGUAUUAGGUUUUGGGGCUAGGGUAACUUUUAAGGUUUUUGGCGAUAGGGUUAAAAUCACUGUCCAAAACCUUUGUAGGAACUCUUUUCCAACCUUUUGGAGUGAGUUAGACCACAAAAAAUGAAAAAUAAAAAAAAAAAUAUUUGGGGUGUUCAGGCUUCCUGAAGGUAAUACCCGGGUAUUAGGUUUUGGGGCUAGGGUAACUUUUAAGGUUUUUGGCGAUAUGGUUAAAAUCACUGUCCAAAACCUUUGUAGGAACUCUUUUCCAACCUUUUGGAGUUAGUUAGACCACAAAAAAUGAAAAAAAAAAAAUAUAUAUAUUUGGGGUGUUCAGGCUUCCUGAAGGUAAUACCCAGGUAUUAGGUUUUGGGGCUAGGGUAACUUUUAAGGUUUUUGGCGAUAGGGUUAAAAUCACUGUCCAAAACCUUUGUAGGAACUCUUUUCCAACCUUUUGGAGUUAGUUAGACAAAAAAAAAAAAGAUAAAUUAAAAAAAAAUAUUUGGGGUGUUCGGGCUUCCUGAAGGUAAUACCCGGGUAUUAGGUUAUGGGGCUAGGGUAAGGUUUAAGGUUUUUGGCGUAAGGGUUAAAAUCACUGUCCAAAACCUUUUUAGGAACAUGUUUCCGACCUUUUGGAGUUAUGGUUACACAAAAAAAAAUGUAAAAUGAAAAAAAAAAUAUUUGGGGUGUUCGGGCUUCCUGAAGGUAAUACCCGGGUAUUAGGUUAUGGGGCUAGGGUAAGGUUUAAGGUUUUUGGUGAUAGGGUUAAAAUCACUGUCCAAAACCUUUGUAGGAACUCUUUUCCAACCUUUGGGAGUUAGUUAGACAAAAAAAAAAGAUAAAUGAAAAAAAAAAUAUUUGGGGUGUUCGGGCUUCCUGAAGGUAAUACCCGGGUAUUAGGUUAUGGGGCUAGGGUAAGGUUUAAGGUUUUUGGCGUAAGGGUUAAAGUAACUGUCCAAUAUUUUUUAAGGAACAUGUUUCAGACCUUUUGGAGUUGGUUACACCAAAAAAAAUGUAAAAUGAAAAAAAAAUUUUUUUGGGUGUUCGGGCUUCCUGAAGGUAAUACCCGGGUAUUAGGUUUUGGGGCUAGAGUUAGGUUUAAGGUUUUUGGCGUUAGGGUUAAAGUAACUGUCCAAAACCUUUGUAGGAACUCUUUUCCAACCUUUUGGAGUUAGUUAGACCACAAAAAAUGAAAAAUAAAAAAAAAAUAUUUGGGGUGUUCGGGCUUCCUGAAGGUAAUACCCGGGUAUUAGGUUAUGGGACUAGGUUUAAGGUUUAAGGUUUUUGGCGUGAGGGUUAAAAUCACUUUCCAAAACCUUUGUAGGAAGUCUUUUCCAACCUUUUGGAGUUAGUUAGACAAAAAAAAAUGAAAAAAAAAAAAAUAUUUGGGGUGUUCAGGCUUCCUGAAGGUAAUACCCGGGUAUUAGGUUUUGGGGCUAGGGUAACUUUUAGUGUUUUUGGUGAUAUGGUUAAAAUCACUGUCCAAAACCUUUGUAGGAACUCUUUUCCAACCUUUUGGAGUUAGUUAGACAGAAAAAAAAAGAUAAAUUAAAAAAAAAUAUUUGGGGUGUUCGGGCUUCCUGAAGGUAAUACCCGGGUAUUAGGUUAUGGGGCUAGGGUAAGGUUUAAGGUUUUUGGCGUAAGGGUUAAAAUCACUGUCCAAAACCUUUUUAGGAACAUGUUUCAGACCUUUUGGAGAUGGUUACACCAAAAAAAUUGUAAAAUGAAAAAAAAUAUAUUUGGGGUGUUCGGGCUUCCUGAAGGUAAUACCCGGGUAUUAGGUUAUGGGGCUAGGGUAAGGUUUAAGGUUUUUGGUGAUAGGGUUAAAAUCACUGUCCAAAACCUUUGUAGGAACUCUUUUCCAACCUUUUGGAGUUAGUUAGACAAAAAAAAAAAGAUAAAUGAAAAAAAAAAUAUUUGGGGUGUUCGGGCUUCCUGAAGGUAAUACCCGGGUAUUAGGUUAUGGGGCUAGGGAAAGGUUUAAGGUUUUGGGCGUAAGGGUUAAAAUCAGUGUACAAAACCUUUUUAGGAACAUGUUUCAGACCUUUUGGAGUUGGUUACACCAAAAAAAAUGUAAAAUGAAAAAAAAAUUUUUUGGGGUGUUCGGGCUUCCUGAAGGUUAUACCAGGUUUCUGGGCUAGGGUAAUGUUUAAGGUUUUUGGAGUUAGGGUUAAAAUCAAUGUCCAAAACCUUUGUAGGAACUCUUUUCCAACCUUUGAGAGCAAGUUAGACCAAAACAAAAAGAAAAAUAAAAAAUAUAUAUUUGGGGUGUUCGGGCAUCCUGAAGGUAAUACCCGGGUAUUAGGUUAUGGGGCUAGGGUAAGGUUUAAGGUUUAAGGUUUUUCGGCGUGAGGGUAAACAAUCACUGUCCAAAACCUUUGUAGGAACUCUUUUCCAACCUUUUGGAGUUAGUUAGACCACAAAAAAUGAAAAAUAAAAAAAAAAAAUAUUUGGGGUGUUCGGGCUUCCUGAAGGUAAUACCCGGGUAUUAGGUUUUGGGGCUAGGGUAACUUUUAAGGUUUUUGGCGAUAGGGUUAAAAUCACUGUCCAAAACCUUUGUAGGAACUCUUUUCACACCUUUUGGAGUUAGUUAGACCACAAAAAAUGAAUAAUAAAAAAAAUAUAUAUUUGGGGUGUUCGGGCUUCCUGAAGGUAAUACCCGGGUAUUAGGUUUUGGGGCUAGGGUUAGGUUUAAGGUUUUUGGCGUAAGGGUUAAAAUCACUGUCCAAAACCUUUUUAGGAACAUGUUUCAGACCUUUUGGAGAUGGUUACACCAAAAAAAAAUGUAAAAUGAAAAAAAAAAUAUUUGGGGUGUUCGGGCUUCCUGAAGGUAAUACCCGGGUAUUAGGUUAUGGGGCUAGGGUAAGGUUUAAGGUUUUUGGCGAUAGGGUUAAAAUCACUGUCCAAAACCUUUGUAGGAACUCUUUUCAAACCUUUUGGAGUUAGUUAGACAAAAAAAAAAGAUAAAUGAAAAAAAAAAUAUUUGGGGUGUUCGGGCUUCCUGAAGGUAAUAACCGGGUAUUAGGUUAUGGGGCUAGGGUAAGUUUUAAGGUUUUUGGCGUAAGGGUUAAAGUAACUGUCCAAUAUUUUUUAAGGAACAUGUUUCAGACCUUUUGGAGAUGGUUACACCAAAAAAAAUGUAAAAUGAAAAAAAAAUUUUUUUGGGUGUUCGGGCUUCCUGAAGGUAAUACCCGGGUAUUAGGUUUUGGGGCUAGAGUUAGGUUUAAGGUUUUUGGCGUUAGGGUUAAAGUAACUGUCCAAUAUUUUUUAAGGAACAUGUUUCAGACCUUUGGGAGUUAGUUAGACAAAAAAAAAAGAAAAAGAAAAAAAAAUAUUUGGGGUGUUCGGUUUUCCUGAAGGUAAUACCCGGGUAUUAGGUUAGGGGCUAAGGUAAGGUUUAAGGUUUUUGGCGUGAGGGUUAAAAUCACUGUCCAAAACCUUUGUGGGAACUCUUUUCCAACCUUUUGGAGUUAGUUAGACCACAAAAAAUGAAAAAAAAAAAAAUAUAUAUUUGGGGUGUUCGGGCUUCCUGAAGGUAAUACCCGGGUAUUAGGUUUUGGGGCUAGGGUAACUUUUAAGGUUUUUGGCGAUAGGGUUAAAAUCACUGUCCAAAACCUUUGUAGGAAGUCUUUUCCUACCUUUUGGAGUUAGUUAGACAAAAAAAAAAAAAUAAAUGAAAAAAAAAUAUUUGGGGUGUUCGGGCUUCCUGAAGGUAAUACCCGGGUAUUAGGUUAUGGGGCUAGGUUAAGGUUUAAGGUUUUUGGCGUGAGGGUUAAAAUCACUUUCCAAAACCUUUGUAGGAAGUCUUUUCCAACCUUUUGGAGUUAGUUAGACAAAAAAAAAAAGAUAAAUGAAAAAAAAAUAUUUGGGGUGUUCGGGCUUCCUGAAGGUAAUACCCGGGUAUUAGGUUUUGGGGCUAGGGUAACUUUUAAGGUUUUUGGCGAUAGGGUUAAAAUCACUGUCCAAAACCUUUGUAGGAACUCUUUUCCAACCUUUUGGAGUUAGUUAGACAAAAAAAAAAAGAUAAAUUAAAAAAAAAUAUUUGGGGUGUUCGGGCUUCCUGAAGGUAAUACCCGGGUAUUAGGUUAUGGGGCUAGGGUAAGGUUUAAGGUUUUUGGCGUAAGGGUUAAAAUCACUGUCCAAAACCUUUUUAGGAACAUGUUUCAGACCUUUUGGAGAUGGUUACACCAAAAAAAAUGUAAAAUGAAAAAAAAAUAUUUGGGGUGUUCGGGCUUCCUGAAGGUAAUACCCGGGUAUUAGGUUAUGGGGCUAGGGUAAGGUUUAAGGUUUUUGGCGAUAGGGUUAAAAUCACUGUCCAAAACCUUUGUAGGAACUCUUUUCCAACCUUUUGGAGUUAGUUAGAAAAAAAAAAAAAGAUAAAUGAAAAAAAAAAUAUUUGGGGUGUUCGGGCUUCCUGAAGGUAAUACCCGGGUAUUAGGUUAUGGGGCUAGGGUAAGGUUUAAGGUUUAAGGUUUUUCGGCGUGAGGGUAAACAAUCACUGUCCAAAACCUUUGUAGGAACUCUUUUCCAACCUUUGGGAAUUAGUUAGACAAAAAAAAAAGAUAAAUGAAAAAAAAAUAUUUGGGGUGUUCGGGCUUCCUGAAGGUAAUACCCGGGUAUUAGGUUUUGGGGCUAGGGUUAGGUUUAAGGUUUUUGGCAUUAGGGUUAAAGUAACUGUCCAAUAUUUUUUAAGGAACAUGUUUCAGACCUUUGGGAGUUAGUUAGACAAAAAAAAAAGAAAAAGAAAAAAAAUAUUUGGGGUGUUCGGGUUUCCUGAAGGUAAUACCCGGGUAUUAGGUUAGGGGCUAAGGUAAGGUUUAAGGUUUUUGGCGUGAGGGUUAAAAUCACUGUCCAAAACCUUUGUAGGAACUCUUUACCAUCCUUUUGGAGUUAGUUAGACCAAAAAAAAAACGAAAAAUGAAAAAACAAUAUUUGGGGUUUUCGGGCUUCCUGAAGGUAAUACCCGGGUAUUAGGUUAUGGGGCUAGGGUAAGGUUUAAGGUUUUUGGCGCGAGGGUUAAAAUCACUGUCCAAAACCUUUGUAGGAACUCUUUUCCAACCUUUUGGAGUUAGUUAGACCACAAAAAAUGAAAAAUAAAAAAAAAAUAUUUGGGGUGUUCAGGCUUCCUGAAGGUAAUACCCGGGUAUUAGGUUUUGGGGCUAGGGUAACUUUUAAGGUUUUUGGUGAUAGGGUUAAAAUCACUGUCCAAAACCUUUGUAGGAACUCUUUUCCAACCUUUUGGAGUUAGUUAGACCACAAAAAAUGAAAAAUAAAAAAAAUAUAUUUGGGGUGUUCGGGCUUCCUGAAGGUAAUACCCGGGUAUUAGGUUUUGGGGCUAGGGUAACUUUUAAGGUUUUUGGCGAUAGGGUUAAAAUCACUGUCCAAAACCUUUGUAGGAACUCUUUUCCAACCUUUUGGAGUUAGUUAGACAAAAAAAAAAAAGAUAAAUUAAAAAAAAAUAUUUGGGGUGUUCGGGCUUCCUGAAGGUAAUACCCGGGUAUUAGGUUAGGGGCUAAGGUAAGGUUUAAGGUUUUUGGCGUGAGGGUUAAAAUCACUGUCCAAAACCUUUGUAGGAACUCUUUUCCAACCUUUUGGAGUUAGUUAGACAAAAAAAAAAAACGAAAAAUGAAAAAACAAUAUUUGGGGUGUUCGGGCUUCCUGAAGGUAAUACCCGGGUAUUAGGUUAUGGGGCUAGGGUAAGGUUUAAGGUUUUUGGCGUAAGGGUUAAAGUAACUGUCCAAUAUUUUUUAAGGAACAUGUUUCAGACCUUUGGGAGUGAGUUAGACAAAAAAAAAAGAAAAAGAAAAAAAAAUAUUUGGGGUGUUCGGGUUUCCUGAAGGCAAUACCCGGGUAUUAGGUUAGGGGCUAAGGUAAGGUUUAAGGUUUUUGGCGUGAGGGUUAAAAUCACUGUCCAAAACCUUUGUAGGAACUCUUUUCCAACCUUUUGGAGUUAGUUAGACCACAAAAAAUGAAAAAUAAAAAAAAAAAUAUUUGGGGUGUUCGGGCUUCCUGAAGGUAAUACCCGGGUAUUAGGUUUUGGGGCUAGGGUAACUUUUAAGGUUUUUGGCGAUAGGGUUAAAAUCACUGUCCAAAACCUUUGUAGGAAGUCUUUUCCUACCUUUUGGAGUUAGUUAGACAAAAAAAAUAAAUAAAUGAAAAAAAAAUAUUUGGGGUGUUCAGGCUUCCUGAAGGUAAUACCCGGGUAUUAGGUUAUGGGGCUAGGUUAAGGUUUAAGGUUUUUGGCGUGAGGGUUAAAAUCACUUUCCAAAACCUUUGUAAGAAGUCUUUUCCAACCUUUUGGAGUUAGUUAGACAAAAAAAAAAGAUAAAUGAAAAAAAAAUAUUUGGGGUGUUCGGGCUUCCUGAAGGUAAUACCCGGGUAUUAGGUUUUGGGGCUAGGGUAACUUUUAAGGUUUUUGGCGAUAGGGUUAAAAUCACUGUCCAAAACCUUUGUAGGAACUCUUUUCCAACCUUUUGGAGUUAGUUAGACAAAAAAAAAAGAUAAAUGAAAAAAAAAUAUUUGGGGUGUUCGGGCUUCCUGAAGGUAAUACCCGGGUAUUAGGUUAUGGGGCUAGGGUAAGGUUUAAGGUUUUUGGCGUAAGGGUUAAAAUCACUGUCCAAAACCUUUUUAGGAACAUGUUUCAGACCUUUUGGAGAUGGUUACACCAAAAAAAAUGUAAAAUGAAAAAAAAAAAUAUUUGGGGUGUUCGGGCUUCCUGAAGGUAAUACCCGGGUAUUAGGUUAUGGGGCUAGGGUAAGGUUUAAGGUUUUUGGCGAUAGGGUUAAAAUCACUGUCCAAAACCUUUGUAGGAACUCUUUUCCAACCUUUGGGAAUUAGUUAGACAAAAAAAAAAGAUAAAUGAAAAAAAAAUAUUUGGGGUGUUCGGGCUUCCUGAAGGUAAUACCCGGGUAUUAGGGUUUUGGGGCUAGGGUUAGGUUUAAGGUUUUUGGCGUUAGGGUUAAAGUAACUGUCCAAUAUUUAUUAAGGAACAUGUUUCAGACCUUUGGGAGUUAGUUAGACAAAAAAAAAAAGAAAAAGAAAAAAAAAAUAUUUGGGGUGUUCGGGUUUCCUGAAGGUAUUAGGUUAGGGGCUAAGGUAAGGUUUAAGGUUUUUGGCGUGAGGGUUAAAAUCACUGUCCAAAACCUUUGUAGGAACUCUUUAACAUCCUUUUGGAGUUAGUUAGACCAAAAAAAAAACGAAAAAUGAAAAAACAAUAUUUGGGGUUUUCGGGCUUCCUGAAGGUAAUACCCGGGUAUUAGGUUAUGGGGCUAGGGUAAGGUUUAAGGUUUUUGGCGAUAGGGUUAAAAUCACUGUCCAAAACCUUUGUAGGAACUCUUUUCCAACCUUUUGGAGUUAGUUAGACCACAAAAAAUGAAAAAUAAAAAAAAAUAUAUUUGGGGUGUUCAGGCUUCCUGAAGGUAAUACCCGGGUAUUAGGUUAUGGGGCUAGGGUAACUUUUAAGGUUUUUGGCGAUAGGGUUAAAAUCACUGUCCAAAACCUUUGUAGGAACUCUUUUCCAACCUUUUGGAGUUAGUUAGACAAAAAAAAAAGAUAAAUUAAAAAAAAAUAUUUGGGGUGUUCGGGCUUCCUGAAGGUAAUACCCGGGUAUUAGGUUAGGGGCUAAGGUAAGGUUUAAGGUUUUUGGCGUGAGGGUUAAAAUCACUGUCCAAAACCUUUGUAGGAACUCUUUUCCAACCUUUUGGAGUUAGUUAGACCAAAAAAAAAGUAAAAAAAAAAAAUAUAUUUGGGGUGUUCGGGCUUCCUGAAGGUAAUACCCGGGUAUUAGGUUUUGGGGCUAGGGUAAGGUUUAAGGUUUUUGGCGUUAGGGUUAAAAUCACUGUCCAAAACCUUUUUAAGGAACAUGUUUCAGACCUUUGGGAGUUAGUUAGACAAAAAAAAAAAAAAUAAAAAAAAAUAUUUGGGGUGUUCGGGUUUCCUGAAGGUAAUACCCGGGUAUUAGGUUAUGGGGCUAGGGUAAGGUUUAAGGUUUUUGGCGUGAGGGUUAAAAUCACUGUCCAAAACCUUUGUAGGAACUCUUUAACAUCCUUUUGGAGUUAGUUAGACCAAAAAAAAAACGAAAAAUGAAAAAACAAUAUUUGGGGGUUCGGGCUUCCUGAAGGUAAUACCCGGGUAUUAGGUUAUGGGGCUAGGGUAAGGUUUAAGGUUAUUGGCGCGAGGGUUAAAAUCACUGUCCAAAACCUUUGUAGGAACUCUUUUCCAACCUUUUGGAGUUAGUUAGACCACAAAAAAUGAAAAAUAAAAAAAAAAAUAUUUGGGGUGUUCAGGCUUCCUGAAGGUAAUACCCGGGUAUUAGGUUUUGGGGCUAGGGUAACUUUUAAGGUUUUUGGCGAUAGGGUUAAAAUCACUGUCCAAAACCUUUGUAGGAACUCUUUUCCAACCUUUUGGAGUUAGUUAGACAACAAAAAAUGAAAAAAAAAAAAUAUAUAUUUGGGGUGUUCAGGCUUCCUGAAGGUAAUACCCGGGUAUUAGGUUUUGGGGCUAGGGUAACUUUUAAGGUUUUUGGCGAUAGGGUUAAAAUCACUGUCCAAAACCUUUGUAGGAACUCUUUUCCAACCUUUUGGAGUUAGUUAGACCACAAAAAAUGAAAAAAAAAAAUAUAUUUGGGGUGUUCAGGCUUCCUGAAGGUAAUACCCGGGUAUUAGGUUUUGGGGCUAGGGUAACUUUUAAGGUUUUUGGCGAUAGGGUUAAAAUCACUGUCCAAAACCUUUGUAGGAACUCUUUUCCAACCUUUUGGAGUUAGUUAGACAAAAAAAAAAAAGAUAAAUUAAAAAAAAAUAUUUGGGGUGUUCGGGCUUCCUGAAGGUAAUACCCGGGUAUUAGGUUUUGGGGCUAGGGUAACUUUUAAGGUUUUUGGCGAUAGGGUUAAAAUCACUGUCCAAAACCUUUGUAGGAACUCUUUUCCAACCUUUUGGAGUUAGUUAGACAAAAAAAAAAGAUAAAUUAAAAAAAAAUAUUUGGGGUGUUCGGGCUUCCUGAAGGUAAUACCCGGGUAUUAGGUUAGGGGCUAAGGUAAGGUUUAAGGUUUUUGGCGUGAGGGUUAAAAUCACUGUCCAAAACCUUUGUAGGAACUCUUUUCCAACCUUUUGGAGUUAGUUAGACAAAAAAAAAAAGAUAAAUGAAAAAAAAAAAUAUUUGGGGUGUUCGGGCUUCCUGAAGGUAAUACCCGGGUAUUAGGUUAUGGGGCUAGGGUAAGGUUUAAGGUUUUUGGCGUAAGGGUUAAAGUAACUGUCCAAUAUUUUUUAAGGAACAUGUUUCAGACCUUUUGGAGUUAGUUAGACAAAAAAAAAAGAAAAAGAAAAAAAAAUAUUUGGGGUGUUCGGGUUUCCUGAAGGUAAUACCCGGGUAUUAGGUUAGGGGCUAAGGUAAGGUUUAAGGUUUUUGGCGUGAGGGUUAAAAUUACUGUCCAAAACCUUUGUAGGAACUCUUUUCCAACCUUUUGGAGUUAGUUAGACCACAAAAAAUGAAAAAUAAAAAAAAAAAUAUUUGGGGUGUUCGGGCUUCCUGAAGGUAAUACCCGGGUAUUAGGUUUUGGGGCUAGGGUAACUUUUAAGGUUUUUGGCGAUAGGGUUAAAAUCACUGUCCAAAACCUUUGUAGGAAGUCUUUUCCUACCUUUUGGAGUUAGUUAGACAAAAAAAAUAAAUAAAUGAAAAAAAAAUAUUUGGGGUGUUCGGGCUUCCUGAAGGUAAUACCCGGGUAUUAGGUUAUGGGGCUAGGGUAAGGUUUAAGGUUUUUGGCGUGAGGGUUAAAAUCACUUUCCAAAACCUUUGUAGGAAGUCUUUUCCAACCUUUUGGAGUUAGUUAGACAAAAAAAAAAAGAUAAAUGAAAAAAAAAUAUUUGGGGUGUUCGGGCUUCCUGAAGGUAAUACCCGGGUAUUACGUUUUGGGGCUAGGGUAACUUUUAAGGUUUUUGGACGAUAGGGUUAAAAUCACUGUCCAAAACCUUUGUAGGAACUCUUUUCCAACCUUUUGGAGUUAGUUAGACAAAAAAAAAGAUAAAUGAAAAAAAAAUAUUUGGGGUGUUCGGGCUUCCUGAAGGUAAUACCCGGGUAUUAGGUUAUGGGGCUAGGGUAAGGUUUAAGGUUUUUGGCGUAAGGGUUAAAAUCACUGUCCAAAACCUUUUUAGGAACAUGUUUCAGACCUUUUGGAGAUGGUUACACCAAAAAAAAUGUAAAAUGAAAAAAAAAAAUAUUUGGGGUGUUCGGGCUUCCUGAAGGUAAUACCCGGGUAUUAGGUUAUGGGGCUAGGGUAAGGUUUAAGGUUUUUGGCGAUAGGGUUAAAAUCACUGUCCAAAACCUUUGUAGGAACUCUUUUCCAACCUUUGGGAAUUAGUUAGACAAAAAAAAAAGAUAAAUGAAAAAAAAAUAUUUGGGGUGUUCGGGCUUCCUGAAGGUAAUACCCGGGUAUUAGGGUUUUGGGGCUAGGGUUAGGUUUAAGGUUUUUGGCGUUAGGGUUAAAGUAACUGUCCAAAAUUUUUUAAGGAACAUGUUUCAGACCUUUGGGAGUUAGUUAGACAAAAAAAAAAGAAAAAGAAAAAAAAUAUUUGGGGUGUUCGGGUUUCCUGAAGGUAAUACCCGGGUAUUAGGUUAGGGGCUAAGGUAAGGUUUAAGGUUUUUGGCGUGAGGGUUAAAAUCACUGUCCAAAACCUUUGUAGGAACUCUUUAACAUCCUUUUGGAGUUAGUUAGACCAAAAAAAAAACGAAAAAUGAAAAAACAAUAUUUGGGGUUUUCGGGCUUCCUGAAGGUAAUACCCGGGUAUUAGGUUAUGGGGCUAGGGUAAGGUUUAAGGUUUUUGGCGUUAGGGUUAAAAUCACUGUCCAAAACCUUUGUAGGAACUCUUUUCCAACCUUUUGGAGUUAGUUAGACCACAAAAAAUGAAAAAUAAAAAAAAUAUAUUUGGGGUGUUCAGGCUUCCUGAAGGUAAUACCCGGGUAUUAGGUUAUGGGGCUAGGGUAACUUUUAAGGUUUUUGGCGAUAGGGUUAAAAUCACUGUCCAAAACCUUUGUAGGAACUCUUUUCCAACCUUUUGGAGUUAGUUAGACAAAAAAAAAAAGAUAAAUUAAAAAAAAAUAUUUGGGGUGUUCGGGCUUCCUGAAGGUAAUACCCGGGUAUUAGGUUAGGGGCUAAGGUAAGGUUUAAGGUUUUUGGCGUGAGGGUUAAAAUCACUGUCCAAAACCUUUGUAGGAACUCUUUUCCAACCUUUUGGAGUUAGUUAGACCACAAAAAAUGAAUAAUAAAAAAAAUAUAUAUUUGGGGUGUUCGGGCUUCCUGAAGGUAAUACCCGGGUAUUAGGUUUUGGGGCUAGGGUUAGGUUUAAGGUUUUUGGCGUUAGGGUUAAAGUAACUGUCCAAUAUUUUUUAAGGAACAUGUUUCAGACCUUUGGGAGUUAGUUAGACAAAAAAAAAAGAAAAAGAAAAAAAAAAUAUUUGGGGUGUUCGGGUUUCCUGAAGGUAAUACCCGGGUAUUAGGUUAGGGGCUAAGGUAAGGUUUAAGGUUUUUGGCGUGAGGGUUAAAAUCACUGUCCAAAACCUUUGUAGGAACUCUUUAACAUCCUUUUUGAGUUAGUUAGACCAAAAAAAAAGCGAAAAAUGAAAAAACAAUAUUUGGGGUUUUCGGGCUUCCUGAAGGUAAUACCCGGGUAUUAGGUUAUGGGGCUAGGGUAAGGUUUAAGGUUAUUGGCGCGAGGGUUAAAAUCACUGUCCAAAACCUUUGUAGGAACUCUUUUCCAACCUUUUGGAGUUAGUUAGACCACAAAAAAUGAAAAAUAAAAAAAAAAAUAUUUAGGGUGUUCAGGCUUCCUGAAGGUAAUAACCGAGUAUUAGGUUUUGGGGCUAGGGUAACUUUUAAGGUUUUUGGCGAUAGGGUUAAAAUCACUGUCCAAAACCUUUGUAGGAACUCUUUUCCAACCUUUUGGAGUUAGUUAGACAACAAAAAAUGAAAAAAAAAAAAAAAAAUAUUUGGGGUGUUCAGGCUUCCUGAAGGUAAUACCCGGGUAUUAGGUUUUGGGGCUAGGGUAACUUUUAAGGUUUUUGGCGAUAGGGUUAAAAUCACUGUCCAAAACCUUUGUAGGAACUCUUUUCCAACCUUUUGGAGUUAGUUAGACCACAAAAAAUGAAAAAAAUAUAUAUAUAUAUUUGGGGUGUUCAGGCUUCCUGAAGGUAAUAUCCGGGUAUUAGGUUUUGGGGCUAGGGUAACUUUUAAGGUUUUUGGCGAUAGGGUUAAAAUCACUGUCCAAAACCUUUGUAGGAACUCUUUUCCAACCUUUUGGAGUUAGUUAGACAAAAAAAAAAAAAGAUAAAUUAAAAAAAAAUAUUUGGGGUGUUCGGGCUUCCUGAAGGUAAUACCCGGGUAUUAGGUUAUGGGGCUAGGGUUAGGUUUAAGGUUUUUGGCGUUAGGGUUAAAAUCACUGUCCAAAACCUUUUUAGGAACAUGUUUCAGACCUUUUGGAGAUGGUUACACCAAAAAAAAAUGUAAAAUGAAAAAAAAAAUAUUUGGGGUGUUCGGGCUUCCUGAAGGUAAUACCCGGGUAUUAGGUUUGGGGCUAAGGUAAGGUUUAAGGUUUUUGGCGUGAGGGUUAAAAUCACUGUCCAAAACCUUUGUAGGAACUCUUUUCCAACCUUUUGGAGUUAGUUAGACCACAAAAAAUGAAAAAUAAAAAAAUAUAUAUUUGGGGUGUUCGGGCUUCCUGAAGGUAAUACCCUUCAGGUUUAAGUAUUAGGUUAUGGGGCUAGGAUUAGGUUUAAUGUUUUUGGCGUUAAGGUUAAAAUCACUGUCCAAUAUUUUUAAGGAACAUGUUUCAGACCUUUUGGAGCUAGUUUGACCAAAAAAAAAAAGAAAAAAAAAAUAUAUAUAUUUGGGGUGUUCGGGCUUCCUGAAGGUAAUACCCGGGUAUUAGGUUAUGGGGCUAGGGUAAGGUUUAAGGUUAUUGGCGCGAGGGUUAAAAUCACUGUCCAAAACCUUUGUAGGAACUCUUUUCCAACCUUUUGGAGUUAGUUAGACCACAAAAAAUGAAAAAUAAAAAAAUAUAUAUUUGGGGUGUUCAGGCUUCCUGAAGGUAAUACCCGGGUAUUAGGUUUUGGGGCUAGGGUAACUUUUAAGGUUUUUGGCGAUAGGGUUAAUAUCACUGUCCAAAACCUUUGUAGGAACUCUUUUCCAACCUUUUGGAGUUAGUUAGACAAAAAAAAAAAGAUAAAUUAAAAAAAAAUAUUUGGGGUGUUCGGGCUUCCUGAAGGUAAUACCCGGGUAUUAGGUUAUGGGGCUAGGGUAAGGUUUAAGGUUUUUGGCGUAAGGGUUAAAAUCACUGUCCAAAACCUUUUUAGGAACAUGUUUCAGACCUUUUGGAGAUGGUUACACCAAAAAAAAUGUAAAAUGAAAAAAAAAAUAUUUGGGGUGUUCGGGCUUCCUGAAGGUAAUACCCGGGUAUUAGGUUAUGGGGCUAGGGUAAGGUUUAAGGUUUUUGGCGAUAGGGUUAAAAUCACUGUCCAAAACCUUUGUAGGAACUCUUUUCCAACCUUUUGGAGUUAGUUAGACAAAAAAAAAAGAUAAAUGAAAAAAAAAAUAUUUGGGGUGUUCGGGCUUCCUGAAGGUAAUACCCGGGUAUUAGGUUAUGGGGCUAGGGUAAGGUUUAAGGUUUUUGGCGUAAGGGUUAAAGUAACUGUCCAAUAUUUUUUAAGGAACAUGUUUCAGACCUUUUGGAGCUAGUUUGACCAAAAAAAAAAAGAAAAAGAAAAAAUACAUAUUUGGGGUGUUCGGGCUUCCUGAAGGUAAUACCCGGGUAUUAGGUUAUGGGGCUAGGGUAAGAUUUUAAGGUUUUUGGCGUAAGGGUUAAAGUAACUGUCCAAUAUUUUUUAAGGAACAUGUUUCAGACCUUUUGGAGCUAGUUUGACCAAAAAAAAAAAAGAAAAAGAAAAAAUACAUAUUUGGGGUGUUCGGGCUUCCUGAAGGUAAUACCUGGGUAUUAGGUUAUGGGGCUAGGUUAAGGUUUAAGGUUUUUGGCGUGAGGGUUAAAAUCACUGUCCAAAACCUUUGUAGGAACAUGUUUCAGACCUUUUGGAGUUGGUUACACCAAAAAAAAUGUAAAAUGAAAAAAAAAUUUUUUUGGGUGUUCGGGCUUCCUGAAGGUAAUACUAGGUUUCUGGGCUAGGGUAAUGUUUAAGGUUUUUGGAGUUAGGGUUAAAAUCAAUGUCCAAAACCUUUGUAGGAACUCUUUUCCAACCUUUGAGAGCAAGUUAGACCAAAACAAAAAGAAAAAUAAAAAAUAUAUAUUUGGGGUUUUCGGGCUUCCUGAAGGUAAUACUUUGUAUUACCUUUGUAGGAAGUCUUUUCCAACCUUUUGGAGUUAGUCUUUUGUAGGAAGUCUUUUCCAACCUUUUGGAGUUAGUUAGACAAAAAAAAAAAGAUAAAUGAAAAAAAAAUAUUUGGGGUGUUCGGGCUUCCUGAAGGUAAUACCCGGGUAUUAGGUUAUGGGGCUAGGGUAAGGUUUAAGGUUUUUGGCGUAAGGGUUAAAAUCAGUGUCCAAAACCUUUUUAGGAACAUGUUUCAGACCUUUUGGAGUUGGUUACACCAAAAAAAAUGUAAAAUGAAAAAAAAUUUUUUUGGGGUGUUCGGGCUUCCUGAAGGUAAUACCCUUCAGGUUUAAGCAUUAGGUUAUGGGGCUAGGAUUAAGUUUAAGGUUUUUGGCGUAAGGGUUAAAAUCACUGUCCAAUAUUUUUUAAGGAACAUGUUUCAGACCUUUUGGAGCUAGUUUGACCAAAAAAAAAAAGAAAAAGAAAAAAUAUAUAUUUGGGGUGUUCGGGCUUCCUGAAGGUAAUACCCGUGUAUUAGGUUAUGGGGCUAGGUUUAGGUUUAAGGUUUUUGGCGUGAGGGUUAAAAUCACUGUCCAAAACCUUUGUAGGAAGUCUUUUCCAACCUUUUGGAGUUAGUUAGACAAAAAAAAAAGAUAAAUGAAAAAAAAUUAUUUGGGGUGUUUGGGCUUCCUGAAGGUAAUACUAGGUUUCUGGGCUAGGGUAAUGUUUAAGGUUUUUGGCGUGAGGGUUAAAAUCAAUGUCCAAAAUCUUUGUAGGAACUCUUUUCCAACCUUUGAGAGAAAGUUAGACCAAAAAAAACUAGGGCCCCGUUGGGGCACUGGCGGGGCCGAGCCGCGUCGCGUCGCCCUCAGCGUGACCGCCUCCCCCUCGCGAUUGCAUCACACUCAAGGUCCAAAGAUGGUGUGCGCACCUGUCUUUGGUCUUUUACCAUUAUAAUGAAUGGGAGGCGCAGUUUCUACCAAAACACUCGCUGCAGACAAACUCCAUGUCCUAUAUGAAAAAAGUCUGGACCAUGAGUGAGGGCACAAACACAGCUAGGAUAUAUCCAAAUGGCAAGUUGCUCCUCCUUCCGGUGUUGCCGGGAGAGCGAUGCGUUUCAGCCAUUGAGCAACACGCAAGAAAAAUAAAAUUUCUCCUGCCAUGGGGGGUAAGGAAAAUGACCAAUUCUUUUUUAUCAAACAUAAUAAAAACUGGUUAUCUCUUGCAGGGCAUCAAAGUCUUGAAUAUGUGAGAGAUAAGUAAUAUGAUUGACUUUGAUGCCUUUUAACUUUUUCUGUAGCAUCAGAUUUAAUAGACAACUCCCUUUGGCGCCCCUCCGUGGCCAUAACUACUUUGUCUGCUGUUAAUAGACCGCUCCCUUUGGCGCCACUCAGUGGCCAAAAUUACUUUGUCUGCUGUAAAAUCAUAUUGGAUUAAUAUUUUUUCCAGAUUUUUUUUUGUACAUCUCUUAUUUUACUUCUGCCCUGUUCAAAACUAGCAAAUGUUUCAUUGAAAAUAAUUUUUUGUAACCCUUUAAGAGCCCAUUUAAGACAUAAAGUCACUAAUAUAGCAAAAAUGUGAGCCUUUUAACUUUUUCUGUAGCAUCAGAUUUAAUAGACAACUCCCUUUGGCGCCCCUCAGUGGCCAUAUCUACUUUGUCUGCUGUUAAUAGACAACUCCCUUUGGCGCCACUCAGUGGCCAAAACGACUUUUAAGAAUGUGGAUUUUUGGGUCAUCUUUGGCGCCCCCUAGAACGUAAACCGUGGGAUGCAGCGUCAUGAUUUUUACAACUUUGAAUGGCCAUGGGGUGUAGAUUGGCCUGAGCAAAUUUGGUGUUGGUGGGACGAAAGCCUUAGGAGGAGUUAGUCACAUUCCAAUGUGUGCGAAUCCGCAAAAAAUGCGAAAUAGCCCUUUAACUGUACAUUUUACAGACACGUGCCCAUUGACUUUUUCGUAGAUCUUAUUGAGAUACACGUGUUUGUCAAAUUUUGUGUCAAUUUGACAAAGCGUAUAGGCGUGACACUCAACAAUGUGUAUUUUCACCUUAGGGGACAAGAAAAAAUUGAAUUUUUUCUCCUGCCAUGGGGGGGCGCUCUUUUGGGGAGUAAAAAUUCCUUCACAAAUGUGUUGAUGGCUGGACAUUGCAUCAUCCUAGAAAAUUCAAAGAUCACAAAACAGCACAAUCUCCAGUUCAAACACGACACAAACUCAGGUUCAACAAACACACAAACUCAAGUUUAACCAAUACCCAAUUCUCACGUUUAACAAUUUCCACAACCUCAAGUUCAAACACGACACAAACUCAAGUUCAAACACGACACAAACUCAAGUUCAAACACGACACAAACUCAAGUUCAAACAACACCCAAAUAUCAAGUUUAACAUCUGCCAAAACCUCAAGUUCAAAAACACCACAAACUCAAGUUCUAAAUGACAAAAACUCAAGUUCAACAAACACACGAACUCAAGUUCAACCAAUGCCCACUUCGCAAGUUUAACAAUUUCCACAACCUCAAGUUAAAAAAAAACAAAAACUCAAGUUCAGACACACCACAAACUCAAGUUAGAAAAACACACAGACUCAAGUUCAACCAACACCUAAGUCACAAGUUUAACAAUUGCCACAAACUUAAGUUCAAAAAACACAAAAGCUCAAGAUCAAAAACACCACAAACUCAAGUUCUAAAUGACAAAAACUCAAGUUCAACAAACACACGAACUCAAGUUCAACCAAUGCCCACUUCGCAAGUUUAACAAUUUCCACAACCUCAAGUUAAAAAAAAAACAAAAACUCAAGUUCAGACACACCACAAACUCAAGUUAGAAAAACACACAGACUCAAGUUCAACCAACACCUAAGUCACAAGUUUAACAAUUGCCACAAACUUCAGUUCAAAAAACACAAAAGCUCAAGAUCAAAAACACCACAAACUCAAGUUCAAACACGAUUCACAAACUCAAGUUCAACCAAAUCCCAAAUCUCAAGUUUAACAAUUUCCACAACCUCAAGUUCAAAACCAACAGAAACUCAAGUUCAAACACGCCACAAACUCAAGUACAACAAACGCCACAAACUCAAGUUCAACAAUUGCCACCAAGUAAGGUUCAGAGAAAAAUACAGACUCAAGGUUAACAAUUGCCACAAACUCAAGUUCAUCAAACACCACAAGCUUAAGUUCAAAAAAUGACAAAAUUUCAAAUUCAACAAAUGACCUAUAUUCACAUUAAACAAUUGCCAAAAACUCAAGUUCAACAAACUCAAGUUCAAAAAUUGCAACAAACUCAGGUUCAAAAAAUACACAAAUUCAAGUUCAAAAACACCACAAACUCAAGUUCAAAAAUGCCGAAACUUAAUUUCAACCAACACCCAAAUCUCAAGUUUAACAAUUGCCACAACCUCAUGUUCAAAAACAACAGAAACUCAAAUUUAAAAACACCAAAAACUCAAGUUAAAAAAAACCCACACAAAUUCAAGAUCACAAAACAGCACAAUCUCAAGUUCAAACAAGACACAAACUCAGGUUCAACAAACACACAAACUCAAGUUUAACCAAUACCCAAUUCUCACGUUUAACAAUUUCCACAACCUCAAGUUCAAAUACAACACAAACUCAGGUUCAAACUCGACACAAACUCAAGUGCAAAAACACCACAAACUCAAGUUCAACAAUUGCCACCAACUAAAGUUCAGAGAAAAUACAGACUCAAGUUCAACAAUUGCCAAAAAACUCAAGUUCAACAAACACCACAAUCUUAAGUUCAACAAAUUCCAAAAUUUCAAGUUCAACAAAUGACCUAAACUCACACUUAACAAUUGCCAAAAACUAAAGUUCAACAAACUCAAGUUAAAAAAGUGCCACAAAAUGAAGUUCAAAAACACCACAAACUCAAGUUCAAAAAACACACAAACUCAAGUUCAAAAACACCACAAACUCAAUUUCAAACACGAUACAAACUCAAGUUCAACAAACACCACAAACUCAAGUUCAACAAAUGUCACAGUUUCAAGUUCAACCAAUACCCGAUUCUCAGGUUUAACAAUUUCCACAACCUCAAGUUCAAAAAACACCACAAACAAGUUCAAACACGCCACAAACUCAAGUUCAACAAACGCCACAAACUCAACUUCAAAAACACCACACAAACUGAAGUUCUAAAACGACACAAACUCAAGUUCAACAAACACAACAAGUCAAGUUCAAGCAACACCCGAUUCUCAAGUUUAACAAUUUCCACAACCUCAAAUUCAAAAAACACACAAACUCAAGUUCAAAAACACCAGAACCUCAAGUUCAAAAAACAUAAUAAACUCAAGUUCAAAUAUUCCACAAACUCAAGUUCAAUGAACACCACAAACUCAAGUUAAACCAACACCCGAUUCUCAAGUUUAACAAUUGCCACAACCUCAAGUUAAAAAAACCACAAACUCAAGUUCAAACACUUCACAAACUCAAGUUCAAACACUUCACAAACUCAAGUUCAACAAACGCCACAAGCUCAAGUUCAACAAACGCCACAAGCUCAAGUUCAACAAACGCCACAAACUCAAGUUCAACAAUUGCCACCAACUAAAGUUCACUAAAAACCAAAGACUCAAGUUCAACAAUUGCCAAAAAAUCAAGCGAAACAAACUCAAGUUCAUAAGUUGUCACAAACUUCAAACACGACACAAACUCAAGUUCAAAAACACCACAAACUCAAGUUCAAAAAGACACAAACUCAAGUUCAACAAACAAAACUAACUA
rnacentral:lncRNA from 1 species